CAAGUACAUAUAUAUCUGCAGGUUCAUCAGUAUCAACCCAGUCAUCAAUAUCCAGAUCAUCCGGUGGCAUUUUGCCUCCAACAUUCCAUGUAGCAACUCGGACUAUAUAGGAAAAGAAAGAUAUCGAUUUCAGACGCGAAAAACUUGAAACUAGCUUUUCCUUGUCCGGCCAUGUUUAAAAAGGGACGAGAAGUGGACCUGAGUUCUUUAGGACUAAUGUACUGGGCUCUAAAAGUUUCUGACUUCCUACGUCUGUGCAGAAAUGGAAGCGCAUCUGCAAAACAAAUAUAGCAAUAUACAGAGUUUUUCAUUACACGUAAACACCCAUGGAAAACCAGAAACUAAGGAAGCAAACAUAAAACAAAGAAAUAACCAGGAGGUUGGCGGAACAGUAGUAUGGAAAUAAGAAUAUACCCUAUACACACUGUAGAUUCUAAACUUGAGAUCAGUCAACUGGAAAAGAAAAAAAAUUGGAUGCUCAAGAACCGACCACGCAAAGCCAUCAUAAUUUAUGAUGAGGAAACGGUUUCAUGAUCAUGCCACUAUUCCAAUUCAAAUAGUCAACCGUGAUCUGGCGUGCAAACAUUUAUUAUGUUCUGAGCAAUCAAUGAGGAAACUAACAAGAAACAGGGCCACACUGAAAUCCAUUUAAGUGUCUGCAACAAUAUGAUUAAACUAAUUAUGGUGGUGGAUGUUCACCUAACACCAUCUUCCAUUCUUCCUCAUCAUUCUCUGCCUCAUUAAGUAAAACCCACUUGCCAUAAUUUCACGUGAUUAAGAAAAUUCAAAACAGGGCGGCCUAAAUAAUCAACCUUGACAAACUAAACUAAGUUCUUCCCAGGGUAGAUCAAGAUCCAGUUUCUUAAUCUCUUCAUUCAUUUCUCCAGGGACGUUCUACAUAGCUGACCUUAAAAGUUCCAACUGUUCAUUCUUCCAUAUCAAUCAUCCCAAACAGUGGAUUGGAUGUAUGAUUCAUCUCUCUAUUCUCUCAAUAGUGACAUCUCAGACCAUGGUCGGUACUGUUGACAGAAACAGACCCAUGGUGGAUAUACAUUGGCCUGCCUAAAAUGCCACCAAUCUUCAAUGCUCACAGCCCCCUAAAACCCCACUCUGGAAAUAAACAAGUACAUUCCCUUUCCAUGGUUAACACCAUAUCUCGAAUCAGUACAUUCAAAUCCAACCGC
rnacentral:lncRNA from 1 species